rnacentral:lncRNA from 1 species
ACUCACCACAGAAACCAAAUGACCGUGAUCAUAAAGUGAGACUGGCACUGGGAAAUGGCUUACGAGGAGAUGUGUGGAGACAAUUUGUCAAGAGAUUUGGGGACAUAUGCAUCUAUGAGUUCUAUGCUGCCACUGAAGGCAAUAUUGGAUUUAUGAAUUAUGCGAGAAAAGUUGGUGCUGUUGGAAGAGUAAACUACCUACAGAAAAAAAUCAUAACUUAUGACCUGAUUAAAUAUGAUGUGGAGAAAGAUGAACCUGUCCGUGAUGAAAAUGGAUAUUGCGUCAGAGUUCCCAAAGGUACAGUGGACUUUUGUUCAAUCAACCUGUGCCCCUUCUUAUCUUGAUCAAGUGAC